CGGCCCUCCGCCAAGAUGGCCGUGCGCCGGCAGCACAAUGCGCGGCUCGGCCCCCCGACCGCACCGCAUCGCGCCGCCCCACCGCCGGGGAGCGGCCUCGGCGCCGCCGCGUUGUGCCGCGGGAGAGAAGGCCGCGCCGGGUUCGGGGAGCCGGGCGCCACGAGGCGGCUGCGCGGAACCUUCUCGUUCUCCGGGGGAGGGACCGCACGGAGCCGGCCCGGCGCGGCCGCGGGGCGCUGAGGAAGGAGCGGAGGCCGCGGCGGUCCAGCCGGUACCUGCGUAGCGCGGACGGUUCGUGCCGGGAGGAUCCGGGCGGGGCGGGGCGCGCUCUCCGCGGGGAUUCGGGCGCUGCGGAGGCCGCCGGUGCCGGGCUGCGGACGGCCGAUGCUCCGCGCUCUCCUCACUGUCUCCCUCUAGCUCCCACCGCUAUUUAAGCAGCCACCACCUCCGGCGGCCACGCCACAUGGGCUGACGGUUUACUCCUCGCCGCAGUCCAAUGAGAGCCGGGGCAGUGCCGCCCUGAGCCGGCCCCGGGGUGAUGCCAGCCCCUGCCCGCCGGAGCCGUUCCGCGGGAGGGGGAGGGGACGGAGGAGGAGAAGGAGGAGGGCGAGGAGGAGGACGACUGGGGGGGGGGUCCCGGGCACACCGGGGCGGACACCGGAGGGCAGCGAGCCGAGCCCCGCCCCGCCCCCUGGCCGCGCUCCGCCGCUCCCGAGCGCUCCGCCGCCGCCUCCGCGCCCCUCCGCUCGCACUGAGGGGGGCGGGGGGAGGCGCUGCCGCACCGGGCCGAGCCGAGGCGCACAAAGGGAAAGGGACGCGCAGUGCCGGGCCGGCACCCAACGCGGGGGCGGGGAAGAGUGGGCGGGGGCGCGGCCGUGCCAAUGGCGGAGCCCGUGAGGGUGUUGCUAGGCGAUAAGGCGAUGUGGUGACUGCGGAGGGGACGGCCGAGGCCGCCGGCGGCGGAGCGAGCGGCGCUGGGCCGCUUUCCGGCGGUCGUUCACCCCGGCGGAGCGCGGCGCCGAGGUUACCACAGGUCAGCGGGCACGCCGGCCGGGGAUGCGCUGCCCCGUGCUGGGCCCGCCGCUCCGAUCCGUGCUCACACGGCGGUGGGGCCUCCAGGGGCCGCGGCUCGGAUGUCUGCCUUUCGGUCGGCAAAAGCGGGAUGCCGAAGGAGCCCACCUGCUGUGGAGCGGCCCUGCUCAGUGCGGGGGGUUGGGCGGGGUGAGCUGUGAGGCGAGUUCUGCCUUCCUCUGUGGUCGGCUGGAGUCAUUGCUUAUAGGAUCUCCUUUCCUUGCACAAGCCGGUAGCAGCCGCGGUGCCACCUCGCCACCCUUCUUUGCCAUCUGUUUUUUAGAUCAAUGAACUAUUUGUUAAUAUUUUGGUCAUAAUAGAAAGCUGUGAGAAUUCACCUCCUCCAUUUAGUGCACAGCUCAACCUCCCCACGGGAUCCCAGUGUUAUCGCUGUGUUACUUAUCGUUGUUACCGCUUGUUGUUAAUGUUCAGCAUACUGAGAAUCACGGGAUGGUUGGAGUUGGAAGGGACCACAAAGGCCGUCUGGUGCCAGCCCUGCACUGAGCAGGGACACCCACAGCUCCAGCAGUGCUCACAGCCCAUCCCCUGACCUCGGCUGCAGGGAUGGGGCACCACUGCCUCUCUGGGCAAUCCACGCCACUGCCUCACUGCCUGUGGUGUAAAACCUUCCUUAUAUCCAAUCUAAACCUCCUGUCCCCAUCUUACAGCCCCUUUAGGGACUGAAGGCCGCUCUCAGCUCUCCCCAUAGCCCUCCCUUCUCCAGGCUGCACAGUCCCAGCCCUCAGCCUGUCCUCAUAGGGCCGUUCCAUCCCUGGGAGCAUUUCUGGGGCCUACACUUGUAUAUGAUGUUCUUGCAGUUACCCCAAAACAAACAUACAACAACUCAACUCUCUUUUCCCCAAGAAAUGAGCUUGUUUCCAUCAAGAGGUAUCAAUGGAUGCUUCAAGGAAACCUGUUUCUCAGGGAACCAGGUAGAUUAAAUUCGCCUUCCUGGGAAGAGCUGUGCAGGACCAGGCAUGCCAGGUGACACACAGGGGAAGAAGAAACAAAACCAAACACCCCCAAACAAACAAACACAAAGAAAUCCCACAGGGAAAACGACAGCAGCACUUCUGAAGCAUGCGGUGCAUGAGCUUAUUCCCUCUGUGCCACGGAGGGAAUGAAAGCCAUGACUUCCAGUCUCAGAUGCUCUCCUGCAAAGGUGGUGGAACAAACUGCUCCCUUUCUAACAGCACGUUGCUGUCAGUGCCAGCUGCAGAUGCACAGCAUCCAUUGCACUGUGCAGCUCCAUGCACAAAAAACAUGACAUGGGGGGGGGGAAAGAAAUCUUAAAGUGUAACCUGCAGCUGUUAAAACCUUUGGGAUUUACACACGGUGCUUUGGGAACAACCAGAGAGAGCUGCAACUGUGCUGUGAUCUGGGCCAAAAUUCUUGUCCUUGUUAGAAACCGCUCUGCUUUGAGCUACAGAAAGAGCUCAUUCAGGGCCUGGUUGAGGGGAAUGCAUCGUGUUGUUCCAGCUUGUGAACGGCGUCAGAUGUGGAGUGCAGUGAUGGGGUUUUCGUGCAAUUCGGUGGUUUAGGAAAAAGCUCAUGAGGUUCCUCAGCUCUCAUAGCGCCUCAUAACACCUCGGUGACGUGAACUGCAGGGUUAGGGUUACGGUUGUGAUGUCGCAGCACGUGGGUACAAAAGCAGAGUGUGUUCAGCAGGAAGGACAAAAAAGUAAUGGUUCAGGUUGCUCUCAGGUUGGUUACUGCUGUGCUGCACGUGUGAGAGGGCACGGCUGUUUGCGAACAGUACUGGGAAAGAAGUGCUAAAAGGAAAACAAACAAACAAAUAAAUGCUCUUUCUUUGGUAAUCCUGCUCAGAUUUCACAUUUUCAGCUGUCCCUGAGAAGUGUGACUCGUUUAAGUGACACUGAGACCACCCCUCGCAGCCCCUCCUGGUGCACGGCUGCCUGCAGUGCAUUGCCCAGCACGACGGGCAGUUGGACUUCAGUUCAACACUGGAAUACCCCAGAGGAGCUCAGCAUUGCUGAGAAUAUGAGAAGAAUACACUGAUUACAUUUUAAGCAUCCUGGAAUGUUCCUAACCACACAGAUCUCCCAUCCCAUUACAUCACAACCCACUCAGGUUUCCUUUGGUUUCAUCUGUUGUAAGACUUAUUUCUCACAACGCUUCUGCAAGGUUCUAAGAGUUGCUGAGGAACGUUUUUCACUGCUCUCAACUUUACGAAAUCUCUUGCUUAACAAAAAUAUUAGUUCAGUUUGAGGAGAGCAGUCCCGUUUUACGCUCUCUCACGCUCUCUGAACAAGUGGAAGGACGGCAGGAGAUGAGAAGCAAUACAGGGGAAGGUGUGAUCUUUUCAACCCCCAUUCUUUCAAGUGCUAAGAUAGCUGCGCGGGAUUAACGGUUGCAUUGCUAAUUGUAAGAAAACAAGUAGGUUGGUGCAUCCCACUUCUGAGCUUAAAUCGCAUCUACGGUUUCUCAACAAAUAUUUCCUAAAGACCUGGAAGCCCUGCCUAAAGGCACAAGGAUUUACAUAUGUAUUAAGUGGGCAUUUCCAAAUCCAUGAUGCAAGCAAUAUUGAACGUAUAUAAUUAAAAUAAACCUGUAUUAACAGUGAAGACUAUAAUCUCACCACGUAUGCAGAUUAACCCUUUGUGUUGGCUGACAGCAUGGGACAGAUUAUUUGUUUUCUCCUCUGACCUCAAACACCCCAACCUGACAUACAGAAAUGAACACUGAAGCAAUAUUCAGAUCACAUUUACGUAUUUUCAUGCAACCGAAUAGCAGACACAGGACUUGCAGCCAACAAAUGAAUCAGUCUUUAAUGUUGUAGUUGCGGAUUUUUGCCACGGUAGGAGAGAUCUUUCGUUUUAUGGGCUGUAUACAAGGGGAAUUCCUGGAUUUUAGCUUCUGCUGAACCUCCAGCUUGGUACCUCGGACUGCCAGAUGUGCUGUGGGCAUUUCAGGCCGACCCGUGGCGUUGCUGUGUUCCUGAUGUUCUCCAGGUUGCUCAGUUGAAUGCAGGAUUUCAAACUCCACUGCUCAAAUAUAUAAACAAACAAAUUGUUAAAAGCACUUUGUGCUGGUGUUUGCAUUCACUCAAGGUGCAACUCAAGCACCACCUACCUGUUCAGCUGUUUUUAAGCAUCAAGUUUUAUACGUUUUCUCUCCCCUGUGACAGAAAACACAAUACCUACACAUUGAAUAACACCAGGCGAAGUUAGCCCUACCUACUCCUGUAUUGUGAAAUGGUGAUGAAGGAGUUGGCUGCAAUCGUUUGAUCUCUUUCAAGAAACCACCAGGAGCCAUGAGAGCUGUAGUAAAAUGUGUUAGGAGAAGCCCGAUCCAAAGGGCUCAAAGGCAGCUCUGUGGGCUUGGCAAAGCUGCCUUGCUGCUAUUAUCAUGUGGGCUUUGUUUGUUUUCCUUUUCUUUUGCACAGGAAGGUAUUUGCAGUGGAAACCUUUUUUUUUUCCUGUGUGCUAGAGGGGACUGAAAGUGCAGUCCUUUGGUUGGGAAGCAGUGACUGAUCUUAGCACUGAUGGAAGCCCAUCCUGCAGUCUCUCACAUAAUUCUCUGAAAACCACUAUCUACCUCCAAUGAAAUGAACUACAGCCUUAUCACAGCUUUUACUACGUCAGAUAAGUGGAAUUGGUCAAUCACAACAUUCACUGUAAGCUGUAAGUAAUGUUUACAGGUGCUUGGCUCCAAUCACUUAAUCCUUAUUUUUCAGUGCAUUGAGAUUUUAACUUUGGAUUUAUAGAGAACCAAAGCAGACAGCAGCUGGCAGAAUAAUACACACUGCAGCCCUCUGUGCAAGUUGGAAACGUUUAAGAUUGAUGGCUUCCAGACCCAGGUACAGCAUGAGAAAGGUAUGAAAUUCAUCAUACAGAGGUUAUUAGCAGAAGGGAAACUCUCAUAGUCAUCAGAACAGGAUGGAAAGUCCAAACAAAUUUGGACGUGGACAAAAAGAAAACAUAUUCUUUGAUGUUUGGAAUGAAUUAAUCUACUGGGGCUAAACACGAUGCUGCAGCCAGUGUCAAAACAUGACACUGAAAUCAUUCUUGUGUUCAGGCUCAGAUUGAAGCAGUUGUUCGUUUAUGGGUGUGCAACAUCUGUGCUGGGUUGGCCUGCUGCCAUUUGUUAUUACAGGUGGCAAAAGCGCAGUGGGCUCUUGUGCCAUCGUUAUGAAACGUUCAGCUUGCCACCUCGUGGUUACCCACAGAGCAGGAGGCAUUGAGAAGUGAGAACUGAUGCUUGAGCCCAUGGAAGAGCUUUGGGUGCAUUGUCCUGCCUGGAAAAAGGACUUGAAUCGUCUAUCAGACAAUAAAGCAGAAUUUCACAACAACAUCCAUGCUUUGGAGCACAGCAGGAGGCACCGUUUGGAAAGAAAUGGAUACAGCUUCAGAGAUUAUUUUUCUUGAACAGGAGCCAUAGCAGAAUGAGAAUAUCAUUUGUGGUCUAAAGAAACAGCAGUGGGUAUCCAUCAGCAUCACCACGCCAGCACUGCUUACCGGUGGUCUGGUUUUGAAAGGUCCUCUCAGUUUUGAAGGGCCUUUUGAAUUCAAACCAGGGCAUGGCUUUCAGGCAACCUGUGGGAGGCCCUACUCCUAUAGAUCCAAAGGCAAAACAACCAACGCCAAUGCAUCGCAUGCAUCCCUUCCUCUGAGGUCUUCUCUGUGCUUGUCUCUUGGCACUAAGGAUGUUACAGUUGUAACUAUUAAAGACUGCUUAGGUAUUUGGAACAACAGCAUGGAACAAAAGCGUUUCACAUGGCUAUUGAAAAGUUCUGGGCAGACAAAAAUCUGUGUUAAUACAGAAAUCGAAACAAAUUAAACUUCAACUGGCAAGGUUGGUUCUACAGAGCAGAGAAAGACAACCAGUGCCCCAGGAUUAGAAAUGCUAUUUGAAGUGAAACGUCCUAAGCAAACUCUGAAUAAAGACCUUCAUCUGGUUCUGGUUCUGCUUGGCAUUGCUCAGAUGUCCAAAGGACCUUCAAUAAAAUCAGCAGGGAUGUGCACAGUGGCAAGAAAUGUUAAUGCACUAUCUUGAUUUCCACAAGCAAAUAAACACUCAGAUAAGGAAAAGGCACGCCUAACUUCAAGCCUAUAAAUCACUUUCAGAAGUGUCCUUGCUGACAAGAGCUAGUGAGAGCACAGUUAGGAGCCCAAGCUGCUUUGAAGACAGACCUAAAAAUGUGUUGUUGAAAUGCUGAACGUAUCUUCUACUUGCUUUGUGCUUACAGUCAGAUCAACAUUCCCUAAUUUUUCUUUAUGUUGCUGUUGUUCAGAUCUGGAAAGAUGCAGGCAUUUCCCCAAAUGGAAAAUGUUCUUUAAGAAAGGAGUCCCUAGCUAUUUGCUCAUGUCUGACCGUGCUUUGGAAAGAACACCAACUCAAGUUCCCAUUGAGCAGAAGGAUGUUGAAGCAAAGAAAACGUAACCAGGGGAUUAGUUAAUAUUUGUGGAGCACUUCAAAGAUGAAAAGUUUUAUGCAACAGAGGAGAAAUGGGGAGCCUUUCUUUAGCUCUUCUUAGAGCUAGAAUGAAGCAAGAGCCAGAGCCAGAGCGCUCGUUCUGUUUGUUAAUAUUUUACUAGAUGCUUUCCCCAGCCAGCUUUUUACCCACAUGGAUUGCUCUUAGAACUGUCAGUGAUGUCAAAGCUGUUGAAAUUCUGUCUAGUGUGGAAACACUUAAGAUAACUUUUGAUCCAUAAAGUGUAGAAUUUCAGAGCACAGAGCUUUGCAAGUGACAGUAACAAUGAGAACAGUGGUUAAAAGAAACUCCAGGUAGUAAACCAGAAAAGUGACUUUGCUUUAAAACAUCUUAUUCUCUUUCCUUGUUAGGCUACAAUAUAAACACAACUAAUUACCCCAGGACCUCUGUUGGGAAUGGCUGUGGAGGUGAGGGCUCUCAAAAGUACAGAGGGACCAUCCACUAAAAUUGGAGUCCUACUUCAGCAUGGAAAAUGCCAAGUUUCACCUACUCCAUACUACUGUAUGAAGCAAAUGGGGGCACGCAUUGCUUUAUGUUCCCUUGGCUGACCUGAGGAGACACAGCUGAUCAGGAGCAAUUCACAUGGUAAAAUGAAGCACCUCUCAUGCUACUGGCUAUUCUAUGUGGUCUUAUGGUCAAACUCUACUUGGCAACACUUGCCUUUGUAAAACUUGCAGCUUGUACAGGAGCUAAUCACACUACUGUAUAUGUGUGCCAUGAUUUUGAGAGGCGGGCAUACAGCUCUUUUGACAAGUAACUUUCUUUAGAGGAUGACUGUUGGGUGAAGUCCACGGUGACUGGAAAAAGGGAAACAUCACUCUUUUUUUUCUGAGAAAGAGACAAAAGAAGAUCCAGGAAACUACAGGCUAGUGAGCAUCUCAUCUGUGCCUGGGAAGACCAUGGAACAGGUCCUCCUGGAUGUUACGUGUGACAGUGAGGUGAUCCAAGAUAGCCAGCACAGCUUCACCAAGGGCAGACUGCACCUCACCAAUGUGAUGGCCUUCUGUGAUGGCAUCAGUAGACACAAGAAGAGUAACUGAUGUUAUCUACCUUAAUUUCUGGCCUUUCAAAUGGUCCUACAACAUAUUCUUAAUUCUAAAUUGGAAAUAUACGGAGGGGUGGCAGCAGGGAGAGGGAGGGGAUUGUCCCGGGUUACUCUGCCCUCAUGAGGUCCCAUGUGGAGUACUGCAUCCUGAGGGGCCCCAAUACAGGAAAGAUGCAGAGCUGUUGGACUGGGUCCAGAGGAAAACCAUAAAGAUGAUCGAAGGGCUGGAAUAUCCCUCCUAUGAAGAAAGGCUGAGGCAGCUGGGCUUGUGCAGUCUAGAGGAGAGAAGGCUCCAAGGAGACCUCAUAAUGGCUUUCCAAUACUUAAAGGGAGCUUAUAAGCAGGAGAGAACAAACUUUUUACAUGGGCAGAUAGUGGUAGGAUGAGGGGAAACAGUUUUAACCUAAAAGAGAGGAGAUGUAGAUUAGAUGAUAUUAAGAGGAAAUUUCUUACUCAGAGGGUGGUGAGGCACUGGCACAGGCUGCCCAGGGAAGCUUUGGAUGCUCCGUCCCUGGAGCCGUUCAAGCCCAAGCCCUGGGCAGCCCAAUCUAGGGGGGGGGGGAGGCAGCCCUACCCACAGCAGUGGGUUGGAACUGCAUAUUUUUAAGGUCUCUUCCAGCCCAUGCAAUUCUGUGAUUCUGUGGACUGUCAUUAGCCUUCAAGACUCAUUUGUUAUGGAUGACCUACCAAAGUCUCUCAGGUGCUCUCAGAGACAGGACAUACGAAAGGGAAAGAAAUAGUUAAGUACAGUCUUACUAGUGCAGUCUAUAUACAACAGUGAUGCUUUUGAUACCACUGUGAAUUGUAUCCGUCAAUUUCUGUUGCAAGAUCUUUUCAACAAUGGAGAAUCAAGAAAAAACCUGAAUCAUAGAAUCAUAGGAGCCUAUGCUCCUUCUAACCCCUUUAUUUCUACUUAGCUUCAGAAUUAACACACAGAACAAAUAUUUAAACCAUCUCAUUCCUACAGGACAAACUAAAAAUUAGCAGGUAGAAUAAGGAGAGAGAAACUGAGCAUAUUUUUUGGUCUGUGACUUCCUUGGAAGUUUCCACAAGCUUGGAAUUUGAUGGUGAAAUGAACAAAGUACGUAACAGUCCACUCAGCAUUAACACGUGUGUCACCAGCACCCCAAAAUACACACUCACUGAAUUGUGUCACAUGCUGCAAGUAUAGCAAACUGUGGGGCUUAUUUGAUAUGCCAACCUGCUGGCAUGUACAUGAAAAAAUAAAAUAAUUAUCACACUACAUCUUUUGCUGCUUCACAAGGAAUGCCCAUAAAACAUCCUUACUGCCAUGACAGAUUUGUACAGCACUGAACUUGUAAAACAGAUGUUUGAAUAAGCAAGCAGACACGCUUGCCUUUGUUCCAAAUCAUCUCCUGUUACUCAGCUUUCAAGUCUGUGUGUGCAUCACUUAUAUCUGAAAGACACCUACCAAGCUGCUCUAUUUCAGUAACGCUUCUAUUCACUGUGACCACGUGUUUGAUGGAUAUAAUAAAGUGAAUGGCCUGAAACAAGAAAGCUCAGCACUGUUUGUUCUUUUGUUUUGUUUGUUUUCUAAAAUGUAGAAUUCCAACCAGUAGAACUAAGGAUACCAUGUGGAUAAUUUCCCAAUGGAGAAAGCUAAGCAGAACAUAUAUUUUUUGUUUUUAUUUUAUUGAAGUUCAGUUCUUCCAAUGCAGUGUUUCAGGGCCUGCAUGCAAUGAAUAAGCUCUGCUCUUAAACCUUCUUGGGGUAAAUCUGGAUGCAGAGAUCAAAUUAAGGUUGUUCUCCAGAAAGUGUUACCCCUUACUGCUGUUACACUCGUUUUGCUUUGGCAGUAUCACCUUUCCCUUUCACUGUUCUGUAGAUCCUCAAAAAUCUACAGUAGGUUUUGCAAUGGUGGCUGGAAAUUUCUAGACAUUAAGAAACUGAUGUCCUUGUAAGGCUGCCAGUUGUGUUGCAUCACACACAAAGCAGCAUGAAACUGCAUGGCACUUAUCAAUGUUUCAAAGACAUCCUUUUGCUUAUCCUGUCAAUAGAGACCUGACCUGAAAUACUCUUCCUCUUUCAGUCCCAGCCCCACAGAACAGCACAUGAACAGUGACUCUCAGCACUGCAUCAUUCUAGUCCGACAGUUCUGUCAAUGCACACGAGUUUGGCACUGUGGUGCACUGCUGUUGUUAACAACUGUGCUUAUAAUCCAUUUUUCAUUUUGAAAGCCCUGUUAGGUAUUACAUACUUUUUAUGUAAAAGCAGCUCUCUUAGACCUUCCAUUGACUCUUUUCCAGACAGAACAACCCAGCUCUCUCAUUCCAUUCUAGUGCAUCACGUUCUCCAGUGCCCUAGCCAUCUCAGACUCUCUCUGUUGAGCUCAACUACAGUUGGCCAAUCCCUUCUGGACCAAAAAGUCCAAACAGGACACACUGCUCCACCUGUGGCCUCACAAGUAGAGGGAACAAAUAAUUUCCCCUAGCCUGCUGGCUACACUCUUGCUCCACAGUGCUGCAUGUGGUCAGCCUUUUAUAACUGCACACAGACAUCUACAUCACGGUUACAGACCACUAUUAAUAUAAAGGCUACAUGGCUGCUACAUCACUCCAUGGCUGCCACUAGAACUCCAUAAUAAUAAUGACAAUGAUAACAACAAAACUGGGAUUAAACAAUCCACACAAGCCCCCAAGCCUUCUAAGAGACAAUUUAGUGAUGUCUAUGCCCCAUAUUAAGAAAUAGAAAUGAGGUUGACCUGAAGCAUUCUGAAAAAAUGUUUGUCUCUGCUUACAAAGACCUUCAAUAAAGAAGAGUCGACACCUCUCCAGGGCAACAUACUCCAUUAUUUGCUCACAGCCCAUCCCCUGACCUUGGCUGUCUGCAGGGAUGGGGCACCACCGCCUCUCUGGGCAACCUGUGCCACUGCCUCACUGCCCACAGUGUAAAAAACUUCCCUAAUAUUCAACCUAAAUCUGCCCUCUCUUAGUUUGAAACCAUUUCCCCAUGUUCCAUCCCAACAGACCCUGCUAAGGAGUCUGUCCCAUUCCUUCCUACAACCCCCCUUUAGAUACUGAACUGCCACAAUCAGGUAUCCCCGAUGCCUUCUCUUCUCCAGGCUGAACAACUUGUUGCACGGGGCUACAAAAUACUGGUGAAUAACAAGCCCUAGUUCAGUGUGCCUGCAGCACAUACUGUGCUACGCUCAUGAUCUCAUGUCUAGCCUCUAGGUCUCAGUGCAUUAAGUAGCAUUAUGGCCAUUACGCUGCCAUAAAAAUAAUCGUUAAGUGAGGAUUUAUAGCUUUACAAUUUGAUCUAACAGUGCCUUGGCAACACAUGAACUGUGCAGCGUUCAGAUAGAUACUUGCAUAUGCGCCCCAAAUAAAGUUUAGAUUAUGUCAGUGCAGAAGGGUAUUUGCAUUUUCCACAAGUGUUUUUAAGAAGAUGAGAAAUAAAAGGAGUAUCUGUGACAUUGGCAUUAACAGCAGAGAGCUGUACCCUCUAAGUGGUUGGAUAACUCUGAAGCAAGAGUAAAAGUACCUUAAAGUAACUGAUUAGAUCAUUAGAUUCAGACCACAGGACUGUAACACCAGGAGUGCUAAUGUAAAAAAGUUAAUGGAAAGGGGCAGAAUUCACUACUGCACUUGGUUUCUUCUAGAAGAAUUAAAUACUGUGAUUAUUUGCAAAGCAUGCUCACCUUGCUUAGCAUUGUUCUGAGGACAGAGAGGAGAAGAGCUUGAUCCCAUUUCUAAAGUUUGCCAAUUACCUUGGCACGGACUGUGUGCUCCAGAUGAAGAAAUCCAGACCUGCUGGGCUUGACCAGAGCUCUCCUUGGGUGGCUGACUUUGAACCCUUGAGGAUGCAGCAGCUGCCUUUUGUUGCUUUGGCCCAUAAUUUGCAGCAGAGGAACUGAGCUGAACCUGUGCAAGUUCAAAUGCCUUAUUAUAAAGAUACACACUUUUCACUUUAAAGACAUCUGAAAAUGGUUUAACGCUCGUGGUCUUAGAAAGAUUGAAGUAUUUCAGCACAGAGGCAAGAUCAGAAAAUGAAAAUUAUUGGUUUAGAUUUGGAAAUGUUGUACAAGAAGAUGAAUGUCGUAGAAGUGAUUGAGAUACCCUGGUUUAUUAAGUGUUACAAUAAAGCUCUCUUAGAAACACUAUUUUGUACAGGAGCAAAGCAUCACUUAUUAAAUGUAUAAGUCUCUCAGCAAACCAUAGUUGAGGGACUCCAGUUGGGAAAUCCAAUUGAAGGCAAAUCAGACUGAUGAUAAAAUUGCACUGUACCUCAGCAGACAGCGGUUCUGUUUCUUCUCCACAGCUGCUUGGAGCUUUUUCUCCCUUUAAGAUGGGGCAGGCAAUUAAAGAAGAGAUCCUGGAGAGAUGCUGUUGCUUUGCAUACUGCAGCUCCUGACACAAAACAUUCCAUUAACACAAAUCAC
rnacentral:lncRNA from 1 species